UACGUAGGGGGCAAGCGUUGUCCGGAAUCAUUGGGCGUAAAGAGCGUGUAGGUGGCUCGGUAAGUCCGCUGUGAAAGUCCAGGGCUCAACCCUGGAAAGCCGGUGGAAACUGUCGAGCUCGAGUCCGGAAGAGGCGAGUGGAAUUCCUGGUGUAGCGGUGAAAUGCGCAGAUAUCAGGAGGAACACCAAUGGCGAAGGCAGCUCGCUGGGACGGUACUGACACUGGAGACGCGAAAGCGUGGGGAGCAAACAGG
rnacentral:rRNA from 1 species